AGUGAACGCUGGCGGUAGGCCUAACACAUGCAAGUCGAACGGCAGCACAGGAGAGCUUGCUCUCUGGGUGGCGAGUGGCGGACGGGUGAGGAAUACAUCGGAAUCUACUUUUUCGUGGGGGAUAACGUAGGGAAACUUACGCUAAUACCGCAUACGACCUACGGGUGAAAGCAGGGGAUCUUCGGACCUUGCGCGAUUGAAUGAGCCGAUGUCGGAUUAGCUAGUUGGCGGGGUAAAGGCCCACCAAGGCGACGAUCCGUAGCUGGUCUGAGAGGAUGAGCAGCACCACUGCAACUGGGAGACGGUCCAGACUGCUACGGGAGGCAGCAGUGGGGAAUAUUGGACAAUGGGCGCAAGCCUGAUCCAGCCAUACCGCGUGGGUGAAGAAGGCCUUCGGGUUGUAAAGCCCUUUUGUUGGGAAAGAAAUCCAGCUGGUUAAUACCCGGUUGGGAUGACGGUACCCAAAGAAUAAGCACCGGCUAACUUCGUGCCAGCCGCCGCGGUAA
rnacentral:rRNA from 1 species